UUGACAAGUAGAACAGUGACGCACCGUGCGCAAUUUAGUAAUCAUUUGUCGGCAAGAAUAGCAAUGUUCGAAUCCUUCAGAUUCUAAAUAACCGAAUCUGCGGAGCCAAAGGUCAAGGGGCAUCGGCGGGGGUCGUUGAACAGAGUCGUUUUCUGGAGGCUCAACAGGAGGAGGAACGCUGUGGGGGUCCAUGCUGGAGAGAGAGGAUGUCGCGGCUUGAAUAGGGCUUCGUUCCGAUCCCGUAUUGGCAAUUGGAGACGUUGUCAUGGAAGACCUGCGGACAGUCGUGGCAUUUG